rnacentral:lncRNA from 1 species
UGGGUGGCUUAGCCCAGGCGGUGCCACCUCCUGGCCUAGGCGGUUGCACCUCCUGGUGCAAUCAGGGUCCGAAUGGUUAGUUCCAUUCGGCCCAAUUUCAGUCUUUCAGGGGGCCCAAUUGCCCCAAGAUUAAGCCAAUGGGAUCACCUCCCAUUUUCCAACUUAAUCAAUGUGCUAACUACGAUUAAAUCUAAGACAAUU